ensembl:lncRNA
GUACGUGGACCUUGCUUCCACACAGCUGGCCAAUUCUCCAUGUGGAAUCAGAACCGUAUGAAAAGAACAUAUUAGAAGAGAUAUCAUAGACGUAACUAGGAAAUAUAAAGAUGAGCUUUAAUUGGGAUCUUGUUAUAGUUUGGAUCCGGAUUGUCGCCCCAAAGGCUUAAGUGCUAAAGACUUGGUCACUAGCCUGUGGAGGCGCAGGACCUUUAAGAGGUGGGGCCAGGUGGAAGUAAGUUGGGGCCUGUCCUUAGAGUAGACAGUAGGACUCUGCCCCUCCCUUUUUCUUUUUAGUCACAGUUGCCCUGAGGAGGGAACCCCUUUGCCUUUUACUAUAAUGCACUAUUUUGCCAUAGACCCCAAAAUAAUGGAACCAAUAACUAUGAACUGAAACCGCAAGCCAAAUAAAUAUUUCUCCCUUUAGGUUAAUUAUCUUAGGUGAAUUGUUACUGUUAUAGAAAACUAACACAAGGCCAAUCUGAAAAAAUUCCUACAGGGUGGAGAGGUAGCUUAGGGGUUAAAGUGCUUGCUGCUACAUCAUGAAUAUGGGAGUUCAGAUCCCAGCACCUGCAUCAGGCUGUCCACAAUAGAGUAACUUUAGCUCCAAGAAGUCUGGCACCCUCUUCUGACCUCCAUAUAAAGAUAAGGCCGGGUGUUUAUAAGAUGUAGGACUCUCAGCUAACACUCCAGCACCAUGUCUGCCUGCAUGCUGCCAUGCUCCAAGACAUGGUGAUAAUGGUCUGUGCCUCUGAAACUCAACAGCAGCAUCAUAAUCACUAUCGUCACCAUCAUCAUCAUCAUCAUCAUCAUCAUCACCAUCGUCAUCGGCAAUCAGCUGCACGGCUAGAGGAAAUCCAAUCACCAGGAGGAAUUUACAGGCCAUGAACUGUACACUCAGGACAUUGCUCAUCUGUCCAGGGUAUCCACCCAUGAGCUCACCCUGAAGAGCCAUCAGCAGGUGUGUUGCAGCACGUACUUCUGAUGUCCCAGACACGCACAGAGUUGUCCAUGGAAGCAGAGGCAACCAGACAACUGUCUGGGCUAAAGGCUGGAAGACCGGUCACAGCCCAGGACUUGCUAAAAACUGACUCAGUGAUUGCAAAAGAGCCCUCCCUUACCCCACACUCACCCAACACAGCCCUGCUGCACAAGACUCCAGUUGAGAGCUGUAUGCUCGGGCUUGAGGCCUCCUACCUCUAUGCAGGUACCUUGCUUUUGCAUCUCCCUCUUCCCAUUAGGGUUAUUACUGGAACAGUUGCAGAACUCCUCUGUAGCAGCUGUAGACAGUGUCUCCUGUGGCUACCCCUCGAGGGAAGUGGUGACAGGAACUAGGAAAGGAAGGGAUGAUCUAUCAGUCUUUCUUUCCAUAAAGAUAGAACUCGGAUUUUAUUAUUAUUAUUAUUAUUAUUAUUAUUAUUAUUAUUAUUAUUAUUAAUUAUUACUGAGGAGGAAACCUAGCACUGGCAGAGGUGUCUCUGCUUCUGUCUGCAGGUUUGACUCCUGGCACUGGCUACGAUACUUGGAAUUUUGAGGUCCAGGGAAUUCAGACUUUGGUAGCCCAUGUAUCAGGAGAAAGGGACACAUAUAAUGGGCUUCUGCAGGCAGGUAGCUUAACUGAACGUUGAGCUCUUGCAGUGAUGGGAGGAGAGAAAGAUUCUUUUACUGGCUGCACUCUGUCAGUACUUCUUUACCCUGGAAGAAAUAUUAUGGUGGGCAUUGGAUGGGCCUCAGCACUUGAUUCGGUUGUCCAAGGUUCCAUCCCUAGCACCAUCAACAAAAAUUAUGAUAAAGAAUAAUUUUGGAUAAUUCUCAAAAUAGACUUAAAAGCUGGAUUUGCAGAUGACUGUUUGUUCUGAGAUUCGGAUUUUUGGUGUCUUUUUCUCCUUCAAUGAUCUGCUUCCACCCCUCACUGCAGUAAAGUACCAGUAUAGUGGACACAGGAAUGAAUCAUGAGUGUGCACUCAUGAACAGCAAACCAUGCUCUAAGGACAAAGAAAGUUCUAAUGUGUGGAAAUGUUUUCUGAAAAGAAUUAUU